GAACGAGAAAGUGGAGCAAUCCAUGAGUAAAGUGGCGACCGGGUGAGUAACACGUGACCAACCUGCCCUCGAGUGGGGAAUAACUCCGGGAAACCGGAGCUAAUACCGCAUAACAUCGCAAGAUCAAAGCCGCAAGGCGCUUGAGGAGGGGGUCGCGGCUGAUUAGCUAGUUGGUAGGGUAAUGGCCCACCAAGGCGAAGAUCGGUAUCCGGCCUGAGAGGGCGCACGGACACACUGGAACUGAAACACGGUCCAGACUCCUACGGGAGGCAGCAGUGGGGAAUUUUGCGCAAUGGGGGAAACCCUGACGCAGCAACGCCGCGUGGAGGAUGAAGCCCUUUGGGGCGUAAACUCCUUUCGACUCGGACGAUAAUGACGGUACGAGUGGAAGAAGCACCGGCUAACUCUGUG
rnacentral:rRNA from 1 species